UUAGAUACCCUAUUAUACUAGUAAAAGCCUAAAUUAUUAAUAGAUAUGUUCUUUAAAUUUGAAGAAUUUGGCGGUGGUUAAUACUUGUUAGAGGAACCUGUUUUUGAAUCGAUACACCACGUGAAAUCUUACUCGUUUUAUUUAGUUUAUAUACCGUCAUUAUCAGAUGAUUUUUAGAGAGUUGUAAUCAUUAAGACUUAUAAGAUAAGUAAGAGAAAUUAGAUCAAGGUGUAGCUAAUGAACGAGUUAAAAUGGGUUACAAUGGAAUUUCAUCCAUUACGGAUUAGUUAUAUGAAAUAGUACUAUGAAGGAGGAUUUAAUUGUAAUGAAAGUUUAAUAAGCUUGAAAGAUAUAAGCUCUAAAUCAUGUACAUAUCGCCG
rnacentral:rRNA from 1 species